CGAUUAAAUGAAACAAUGCAUGUGAAGGAACUGGCUCAGCUCCUUGCAUGUAGGAAGCCCUGCAGAAAGUGUUAUUGUUAACAACUCAGAAGCAGCACAGUGAUUAUGACUCCAGAAGGAGGGAAGUCUCAAGGGCUCAUAACCUUUCAGAAAAUGAAGGACCUUUGGGCUGAAAUUCUGAAAGCUGGCUCUUACUGCAAAGAUUUUCAGAACAGAAAAUUCUACAACUUCCUAUAGUAACAUAUUUUUGUGCUUCAUCAUCAGGAAAUUGCAACAACCUUAAUUUCCUCCAAUUAGGCCUAUUUUCUUGAUGCAUGUGGAUUUAAAAUAACAGUCUGCCGUACAUCUCUGUUAGUGACUAAUGUUAGAAUAUGACACGAUGGCAAAAUGUUAGAAAUUGGAAAUAAUUAAUCCAGAGAUAAGAAAGCUCACAGGGGAUCUAACUAGAUUU